UCGCAAGCUCACAUGAACGCACUGCCGUUGCCGUCCGGCUCUCGUCCCUCCGCUGUUUGCUGUUCGAGUUUUCCCUGCCUCUUCCCAAAGCCGCCAUUUGCCCCUGCCUUAGCCCACCGCCGCAACCCUUUCUCUUUUCUUCUUCCUCUACUCUUUUGUCUUCUCCUCUGUCCACUGACCCAUGGCCGAACCACCACCAGCGACUACCUCAGCUGCCUCUAGCAGCUGCUGUCCUCACCACCGCCGCUAGUCACCGCCGCUGCAACAUCCACCUCUCCCUUGAUUUCUUUUUGCUUUGUUCUUCAUUACAGAUGAUAAUCAAGAUCCAUUUGCAUUUGAUGAGGAUGACAUUGCACCUCCUAAGUGGGAUUUACCAUCAAUCAAGCAAAGAAAGUCGCAUGCUAAAAAAUAUGAGGUAACAAGCAGAGAAUUUGAAGAAGGAUGUUUAUCAUAGACUAGUUUGAGCAAUGGGGAUGUCAAUUGUUCCAGUUCUUACGUUGAUGGUGAAGAAGGUUCUAGUCUUAUCACUGAUUGCCUUCUUACUGCUAUUAAGGUGCUGAUUAAUUUGACUAAUGACAAAACCCUAUUGGCUGUCAUCAAAUUGCUGAAUAUGGAGGAUUGGAGAUUAUGCCUCUGUUAAUUGCUCAGCAUUUUCCUUCUUUCAGUUCAUCUUCAUUGCCCACUUUUCACAUAAAGGAAAAUAAGCCAAACA